rnacentral:sRNA from 1 species
CUGGCAGCCCUGCAGCCUCUUCUGUGUGCCCACAGCACAGAUGCAGCACGGGCAGUGACAGUGCCAACGUGCCACACGCCCCACCCUGACACGGAGGCCACCUCUAGAGGGGAGGGAAGAGUUCGCAUCCACGUCUUCUCUUUU